GAAACUUAAAGGAAUUGGCGGGGGAGCACAGCAACGGGAGGAGCGUGCGGUUUAAUUGGAUUCAGCGCCGGAAAACUCACCGGAGGCGACGGUUACAUGAAGGCCAGGCUGAUGACCUUGCCUGAUUUUCCGAGAGGUGGUGCAUGGCCGCCGUCAGUUCGUACCGUAAGGCGUUCUGUUAAGUCAGAUAACGAACGAGACCCUCAUCCUUAAUUGCUACUAAUGACCUCGGUUGUUAGGCACAUUAAGGAGACCGCUGACGAUAAGUCAGAGGAAGGCGAGGGCAACGGUAGGUCAGUAUGCCCUGAAUCCUCCGGGCUACACGCGCGCUACAAAGGCCAGGACAAUGGGUUUCGACACCGAAAGGUGGAGGUAAUCCCGAAACCUGGUCAUAGUUCGGAUUGAGGGCUGAAACUCGCCCUCAUGAAGCUGGAUUCCGUAGUAAUCGCGGAUCAACAUCCCGCGGUGAAUAUGCCCCUGCUCCUUGCACACACCGCCCGUCAAACCAUGCGAGUUGGGUUCAAGUGAGGAUGUAGUAUUUUGCUGCGUUCAAACUUGGGCUUAGCAAGCGGGGUUAAGUCGUAACAA
rnacentral:rRNA from 1 species